GACGAACGCUGGCGGCGUGCUUAACACAUGCAAGUCGAACGGAAAGGCCCUGCUUUUGUGGGGUGCUCGAGUGGCGAACGGGUGAGUAACACGUGAGUAACCUGCCCUUGACUUUGGGAUAACUUCAGGAAACUGGGGCUAAUACCGGAUAGGAGCUCCUGCUGCAUGGUGGGGGUUGGAAAGUUUCGGCGGUUGGGGAUGGACUCGCGGCUUAUCAGCUUGUUGGUGGGGUAGUGGCUUACCAAGGCUUUGACGGGUAGCCGGCCUGAGAGGGACCGGCCACAUUGGGACUGAGAUACGGCCCAGACUCCUACGGGAGGCAGCAGUGGGGAAUAUUGCACAAUGGGCGGAAGCCGGAUGCAGCAACGCCGCGUGCGGGAUGACGGCCUUCGGGUUGUAAACCGCUUUCGCCUGUGACGAAGCGUGAGGGACGGUAAUGGGUAAAGAAGCACCGGCUAACUACGU
rnacentral:rRNA from 1 species